CAAUGGCUUCAGUGUCUGGCAUCAUUUGUGAUGGUGAUACUGAGAACCCUCUCCCAGACCCUGAAGGAAUACCAGACACACCAACUGAUGAUGUGCCUGACCCCUCAGCCCCAGGCCUACCAGAAGGGUGUCCUCUUUGGCGAGAGCUUCAGCUGCACCGCAUGUUUUGACGUAGUCCUGAAACAACAAGAGAUCAACACAUCAAUUCUUGGACUCAAACAGCAGCUGGAGGAUUGCCAGAGCUAUGGGUGGAUGGAAACACUCCCUGUCAGGCAUGGGCUCAUCGGGUCAGCGGAAUGCCAUUUUUGAUUGCAAUGUCGUGGAGCACACUGCAAGCCUUGACAAUGUAGCAAACACAUUGUAUUACAUUCACGUAAUGGCAUUUGAAGGAAUGUCAUUUCAGAGGCAAACCUUGCUAGGCUAGUAUUGUAGUGUGCCUCCUGUACCAGACAAGCACAGCCAAUGCCCUUUCAGCAGGCCUAUGGUGUGCUCGAUUGUUCUUGUGCAUGCGUGGGCUUGCCACCUUGCCUCUUAUUGGUCUGUGAGGGGAGUCAUAAGCCAUGUUUUUAAUGGGUAGCCCUGGUCUCCUGCAGCUAUGAACACAACAUUCAGACAUUGUUUCCCAGUAGAGGUCUAACAUGGCAAAUAAACCUUGCAAAUAAAACAUAAGUCACUUACCAAUAAGCCAUCCCUCCUCAACAGCUCCGUCCUGGAGGUUAAGGCCGACUGAACUGUUCUGCACAAUGAACGAAUAAUGUGUCCAACCUGGACAUUUGGCCACUACAUUCAACAAAGCCAAAUGUGAAUCACAGAAGACCUGCACAUUGACAGAAUGGAAACCUUUUCUGUUGACAAAGUUUCAUUUGUUCAAUGAUGGUGCUUUUAUUGCGAUGUGGGUGCAGUCAAUUGCUGCAAUGACAUUGGGAAAUCCAGCUGUGGUAUGGAAAUCCCUUUUCACUCUGGCCUGUUGCACAGCAGUGUUCGGAAACUGUAUGUAUUGUGGGGUCAAUGAAAUAAUGCCAUGAAGGACUGCAGGCAAUAUUCGACUCAUGGUUGGUUGUGAAAUGCCAGACCGAUCCACAAUCUCCCGUUGGAAUGUUCCAGUGGCCAAAAAUCCCAGGGUGUCGAGGACUUAGGUAUGCAUUGGGAUGGCAUUUGUGAGUUUCGUCUCCCUUUCUAAUACUGGAGAGAGUUGGUUGCAGAGAGACAAUUAAAUUUGCCUUGGAAAACAAAAUCUACUAAUAAGCCAAGUGUCGCUCUCAGCAAAAAAAUCUGCAUGCUCAUUAAAAACACGCUCCCUGCAUAAUGCAGCUUGUGCCAGAUCCUCCAGCAAUGCAAGAUUUGCCAUUUUGGACAAGUCACAAUGCCUCAGUGUUGCGUUUUAUAUUAUUUAACUGGUUUAACUAAAUUGCCUCAACUUGCAUUCCACUCUCUUUCUAAUUGACUUUAUUAUUCAAUUAGGCUUAAAUGGUUUCAUGUUUAUGAAUUCGAUAACACCCUGAGAAAACUAUUAAUAGUUUAUUCAUGUUUUUCUUUUAGACACUUAAAACUAUUAAUCUAUUAUCUUUUUUCUUCAUAGUUUAUGAUUUGGUCCAGUAUGUAUCCUUUCUCCAUUUGGUGGAUGGUAUUUCGUUAGCAGUUUGACUUUUCUACCAGAAGGUGCUGUGCGUACGUAUGAUCAGAUGUGUUAUUAAAUGUACACACAUUCUCAAGUAUAAGUACAAAUUGAUAAAUCCCACACUUUGCUUAGAAAUGAUCGCACGCAUGGUUUACGAACAUUUCUGUUGGUACGCAACAUUGAUAAAUGAGGGCCUUCUUUAUAAAAGUUUGAGCAGAAAUGUUUUGGUUGUGCAAACCCA